UGAAAUCUUGAUCGCAUGUUU
rnacentral:piRNA from 1 species